UACGUAGGGUGCGAGCGUUAAUCGGAAUUAUUGGGCGUAAAGGGUGCGUAGGCGGCGGAGUAAGUUGGGUGUGAAAUCCCGGGGCUUAACCUCGGAAUUGCAUUCAAUACUGCUUCGCUCGAGUACUGGAGAGGAGGCUGGAAUUUACGGUGUAGCAGUGAAAUGCGUAGAUAUCGUAAGGAAGGCCGGUGGCGAAAGCGAGCCUCUGGACAGUUACUGACGCUGAUGCACGAAGGCCAGGGGAGCAAACGGG
rnacentral:rRNA from 1 species